AUGACAUCAAUCCCUCCAGGUUCAGCCCUGAGAGAUUGUGCAGCUGGCUAUCCACAGCCUAUAGACCAUGAAUCUGCAACUGCUGCUCUAAGGUUGCGGGAAACUGUUGGAGAACACAAUGGUGAUGUCGUAUACAGGGGUAGCGGCGUGGAACAGGAUAUCACCCGCCAUGUUUUUCGUUGGAACACUACUGAUUAUAGACAAGUCUUUGAAAAUGGAUUCCAAGCAAGGCCUCAGGGAGACACUCCCGACGGCACCUACUUCAAUUUGGAUCACCAUGUCCAUCAUGGAGGAGCUCCUGGUGAUCCCGAUAGGCCUGAACCACACGCCUUCAUUAGCACAACCGUAAACACUAGAUGGGUUCCUGACCCUCCUACAACAAUACUCCCAGUAGGAGGGCGAAUGGAAAUCUAUCGUUACGAGAUCUAUGCUCCUGGUGGUAUAUGGGUUAAUGAGACCCUUCUUGAGCGAUACCGGUUCCCUGCUCAAGCCGAAGUUGCCUUUGUUGGUGGCAUUGCACCUCAGUACAUUCACUCUGCUCAAUUAUUCAUUUUGACUCGUCCAAGAAGGUUUCCAGAACGGGCCAGAGCAGAUCAAAGAAUUAUACUAAACGGGCAUUUCAGUCCAGAUCCAGAUCCGGAUAGGAGGCUCAUCAUCCAGAACCCUGUACACUAUUAUGUUGAUGAUGAGACCAGCAAACGUCGAGCUUUAACUAUCAAAAUUUGGAGGCCACAAUUGCCAAACGCCACGAGAAAGAAAAGAGAUACAUCCGAUAACAUUGUUGAUUGGUACGCUAAGGGCGUAGAAGAUUCGCCUGGUUAUAUAAAUGCUGCAUUCCGUUCAUCUAGGAGCAACGAAGUCUAUUUGUUCAUGCAAAACGAGUAUGUGCUGGUGAACUAUGCUCCUGGAACAACGGACGAUAGCAUUGUGAAUGGGCCACUUCUUAUUUGUGACGGGUAUCCGUCACUUCAUGGCACGGCAUUUGGUGAACAUGGAAUUGACUGUGCCUUUGACAGCCACGAUGGCAGUGAAGCAAUCAUCUUCUGUAGUAAUCUCUGUGCCCACAUAGACUAUGCUCCGGGAACAACAAAUGAUAGAAUCCUCAAUGGGCCUAUGACAAUCACUGCCAUGUUCCCCUUCUUCAACGGUACGGAGUUUGCGGACUCUAUUGACGCUGCAUUUACAUCAAGCGUGAUGCACGAAGCUUACUUAUUCAAAGGUGACUCCUAUGCAAACAUAAACUAUUCUUCCAAGACUUGCAUUGCCAUCCGCAAGAUCACAGAAGGAUUUUAUAGUUUGAGAAACACCAUCUUUGAAAGUGGAGUUGAAGCAGCUUUCGCUUCUCAUCUGACUGAUGAAGCUUACAUUUUCAAAGGAGACCAAUAUGCACUUAUCAACGUUGCCCAUGGUACAACCGACGACUAUAUCAUUGGUGGUGUAAAGCCAAUCGCUCCCAACUGGCCAUGUCUUCGUCGAAUACUGCCUCGCAAAAAUCUUGGAGUUGAUGACCAUGGUCACCACAACCAAGAACAAGCUGACCAAGACCACGUACAUGAUGAGCUUUAA
rnacentral:rRNA from 1 species